AUUGAACGCUGGCGGCAGGCCUAACACAUGCAAGUCGAGCGGAUGAAGGGAGCUUGCUCCUGGAUUCAGCGGCGGACGGGUGAGUAAUGCCUAGGAAUCUGCCUGGUAGUGGGGGAUAACGUCCGGAAACGGGCGCUAAUACCGCAUACGUCCUGAGGGAGAAAGUGGGGGAUCUUCGGACCUCACGCUAUCAGAUGAGCCUAGGUCGGAUUAGCUAGUUGGUGGGGUAAGGGCCUACCAAGGCGACGAUCCGUAACUGGUCGGAGAGGAUGAUCAGUCACACUGGAACUGAGACACGGUCCAGACUCCUACGGGAGGCAGCAGUGGGGAAUAUUGGACAAUGGGCGAAAGCCUGAUCCAGCCAUGCCGCGUGUGUGAAGAAGGUCUUCGGAUUGUAAAGAACUUUAAGUUGGGAGGAAGGGCAGUAAGUUAAUACCUUGCUGUUUUGACGUUACCAACAGAAUAAGCACCGGCUAACUUCGUG
rnacentral:rRNA from 1 species